GUUCCGCCACCCCGUAUUUUCUACCGGGGGGGGGUGCCUAUCAUGCAAGUCGAGCGGAGCACUUCGGUGCUUAGCGGCGGACGGGUGAGUAACACGUAGGCAACCUGCCUGUAAGAUCGGGAUAACUACCGGAAACGGUAGCUAAGACCGGAUAGCUGGUUUCGGUGCAUGCCGGAAUCAUGAAACACGGGGCAACCUGUGGCUUACAGAUGGGCCUGCGGCGCAUUAGCUAGUUGGCGGGGUAAUGGCCCACCAAGGCGACGAUGCGUAGCCGACCUGAGAGGGUGAUCGGCCACACUGGGACUGAGACACGGCCCAGACUCCUACGGGAGGCAGCAGUAGGGAAUCUUCCGCAAUGGGCGCAAGCCUGACGGAGCAACGCCGCGUGAGUGAUGAAGGUUUUCGGAUCGUAAAGCUCUGUUGCCAGGGAAGAAUGUCGUGGAGAGUAACUGCUCUGCGAAUGACGGUACCUGAGAAGAAAGCCCCGGCUAACUACGUGCCAGCAGCCGCGGUAAUACGUAGGGGGCAAGCGUUGUCCGGAAUUAUUGGGCGUAAAGCGCGCGCAGGCGGUCUUUUAAGUCUGGUGUUUAAGCCCGGGGCUCAACCCCGGUUCGCACCGGAAACUGGAAGACUUGAGUGCAGGAGAGGAAAGCGGAAUUCCACGUGUAGCGGUGAAAUGCGUAGAGAUGUGGAGGAACACCAGUGGCGAAGGCGGCUUUCUGGACUGUAACUGACGCUGAGGCGCGAAAGCGUGGGGGAGCAAACAGGAUUAGAUACCCUGGUAGUCCACGCCGUAAACGAUGAGUGCUAGGUGUUAGGGGUUUCGAUACCCUUGGUGCC
rnacentral:rRNA from 1 species